ACACUCCUACGGGAGGCAGCAGUGGGGAAUAUUGGACAAUGGGCGCAAGCCUGAUCCAGCCAUGCCGCGUGAGUGAUGAAGGCCCUAGGGUUGUAAAGCUCUUUCACCGGUGAAGAUAAUGACGGUAACCGGAGAAGAAGCCCCGGCUAACUUCGUGCCAGCAGCCGCGGUAAUACGAAGGGGGCUAGCGUUGUUCGGAUUUACUGGGCGUAAAGCGCACGUAGGCGGACUAUUAAGUCAGGGGUGAAAUCCCGGGGCUCAACCCCGGAACUGCCUUUGAUACUGGUAGUCUUGAGUUCGAGAGAGGUGAGUGGAAUUCCGAGUGUAGAGGUGAAAUUCGUAGAUAUUCGGAGGAACACCAGUGGCGAAGGCGGCUCACUGGCUCGAUACUGACGCUGAGGUGCGAAAGCGUGGGGAGCAAACAGGAUUAGAAACCCUAGUAGUCCCAU
rnacentral:rRNA from 1 species